UUACUUUACUUGUAUCAUCCAAAGAGCGUCACUUUGAAGAAAAGAAAAAAGAAAAAGAAAAGACGAAAAACCAGUCACUUCUCGCUGCUCAUAAAUGAAAACAAAACACUUGAGGAGGAAAUAGAAACAGUUACAACAAGAAGACUCCGAGGCCGCCAUGAACCUACGGCAGCGGCCUGCGCCCACUCGCAGGCGCAGCAAUAUCCACGCGCUGCCGGAACUGCAGGAAAGGGACGUCUACAACAUAAUCCCCAUCCACAACCUCCUUGUGGAACACCCGUCCCUGCGGUACCCGGAGAUACGCGCCGCCGCGGCUGCCCUACGCGCCACCGGGGACCUCCGGAAACCGCCGUUCGCGGAGUGGAACCCGAACAACGACCUACUGGACUGGCUGGGGGUUCUCUUCGGGUUCCAGAACGACAACGUAAAGAACCAGAGGGAGCACCUGGUUCUCCACCUGGCCAACUCGCAAAUGCGGCUCCAACCACCUCCCAACAUCCCCGACGUCCUCGACCCGGCUGUCCUCCGCAAAUUCCGGAACAAGCUCCUCAACAACUACUCCUCCUGGUGCUCCUAUCUCGGCCAAAAAUCCCAAAUCUCGCUCUCCUCCCGCCGUAUCAGAACUGGUACCGGUUCGGCCGAGUUCAACAGUCUCCGCCGAGAGCUCCUCUACGUGUCGCUUUACCUUCUAAUCUGGGGCGAGUCCGCGAACCUCCGGCUCGCGCCGGAGUGUAUAUGCUACAUAUUUCAUCAAAUGGCCAAGGAGCUCAACGACGUUCUCGACGAGAAAAUCGACCCCGAAACGGGCUCGCCAUACUUGCCGCGGCAGUCGGGAGAGUGUGGAUACUUGAAGAGCGUGGUGAUUCCGAUAUAUCAGACGAUAAAAACCGAGGUUGAGAGCAGCCGAAACGGCAAGGCUCCGCACUCGGCGUGGAGGAACUACGACGAUAUCAACGAGUACUUUUGGAGUAUGAGGUGCUUUCAUGGGCUGAAAUGGCCUUUGAAUUACUCGUGCAACUUCUUCGCCACCACGCCAAAGGCGAAGCGAGUGGGGAAGACGGGGUUCGUGGAGCAGAGGUCGUUCUGGAACGUGUUUCGGAGCUUUGACAAGCUCUGGGUGAUGUUGAUACUCUUCUUUCAGGCGAUGCUUAUCGUCGCUUGGGAGGGGAAAGAGUUCCCAUGGCAGGCCCUGAAGAGUAGAGACGCUCAGGUUAAGUUGCUGACGGUGUUCAUCACGUGGGCUGCCUUGAGGGUUUGGCAAUCGGCGCUCGAUGCUGGGACUCAAUAUAGUUUGGUUUCGAGGGAGACGGCGUGGCUCGGUGUGAGGAUGGCGCUGAAGUUCACGGCGGCGCUGACUUGGACGGUGGUGUUUGCGGUGUUCUAUGCGAGGAUUUGGAACCAGAAGAAUGCGGAUGGACGGUGGUCCGAUGAGGCCAAUCGGAGGAUCGUAAGUUUUCUUGAGGCUGUUCUUGCUUUUGUGCUUCCGGAAUUGUUGGCAUUGGCUUUGUUUAUUGUUCCAUGGAUUAGGAAUGUGCUUGAGGAAUUGAAUUGGCCUGUGUUGUACUGGUUGACAUGGUGGUUUCAAACCCGAAUCUUCGUGGGUCGAGGGGUGAGGGAGGGGCUAGUAAAUAAUUUCAAGUACUCGUUGUUUUGGAUUGUUGUUUUGGCUUCAAAAUUUUCCUUUAGUUAUUUCCUUCAAAUCAAGCCUUUGGUUGGCCCGACAAAGCUCAUUUUGGGGCUUACGGAGGUGACAUAUAAAUGGCACGAGUUUUUCAAUAGCACUAACAGGAUGGCUGUUGUGUUGUUGUGGGUUCCUGUGGUGUUGAUUUAUUUCAUGGAUUUGCAAAUUUGGUAUGCCGUUUACUCCUCCUUUGUUGGUGCAACAAUUGGGCUGUUUUCGCAUUUGGGCGAGAUCAGGAAUAUUGAGCAGCUAAGGCUGAGGUUUCAAUUCUUUGCUAAUGCAAUAAAGUUCAAUCUCAUGCCGGAGGAGCUGCUCCUAAUUCCCAAGUUGACUCUGGUGAAGAAGCUCCGCGAUGCUAUCCACCGAUUCAGGCUGAGAUAUGGGCUUGGACAGGCCUUCAGUAAGAUCGAAUCCAGCCAAGUGGAAGCUACCAGGUUUGCCUUGAUCUGGAAUGAGAUCAUAGCAACUUUCAGGGAAGAAGAUCUCAUCAAUGAUCAAGAACACGAGCUCUUGGAACUGCCACCUAAUUGUUGGGGCAUUAGGGUCAUUCGAUGGCCAUGUUUCCUCCUCUGCAACGAGCUGCUACUUGCUCUCAGUCAGGCAACAGAGUUGGCAGACGACCCUGACCGGUUGCUUUGGUUAAGGAUAUGCAAGAAUGAAUAUCGGCGGUGUGCUGUUCUCGAAGCUUAUGAUACCGUUAAGUAUUUGCUUCUUAUGAUCAUUAAAGAUGGCACAGAUGAGUACUCAAUCACCCAAAAUUUGUUUGAGGAGAUAGAUGACAAGAUUAAGCAUGAACAGUUCACGGUGACAUACAAGAUGUCUCUGCUACAACAGAUUCAUGCUAAGUUAAUAUCACUUGUUAAGCUUCUGAAGCAACCAAAGAAAGAUCUGAGUGAGGCAGUGAAUAUACUACAGGCCUUGUAUGAACUUUCCGUCAGAGAAUUUCCGAGGGCGAAGAAGUCCAUUGCGCAGUUGAAAGCAGAAGGUCUGGCACCUCGUAGUCCAACCAGUGAUGCAGGGUUGCUCUUUGAGAAUGCAGUCGAGUUCCUUGAUGCUGACGAUGCUAGCUUUGAUAGGCAGAUCCGGCGUUUGUAUACUAUUCUUACUUCUAGGGACUCGAUGCACAAUGUUCCAAGGAAUCUUGAGGCAAGAAGGCGAAUUGCUUUCUUUAGCAAUUCACUAUUUAUGAACAUGCCCCGUGCUCCGGCUGUUGAAAAAAUGUUGGCUUUCAGUGUUCUCACACCCUACUAUGACGAAGACGUUCUCUAUGGCCUACUGAAUCUUCGAAGUGAAAAUGAAGAUGGCAUUUCCACCCUGUUUUAUCUGCAGAAGAUCUAUGAAGAUGAGUGGGAAAAUUUUUUGGAGCGGAUGCGCAGAGACAGCGUGCAGAAUGGCGAUGAUCCCUUGGAGACAAAACAAAGGGAUGUUCGUCUUUGGGCAUCGUACAGAGGCCAGACCUUAUCCCGCACUGUGAGAGGAAUGAUGUAUUAUUAUAGAGCUCUCAAGAUGCUUUCCUUUCUUGAUACUGCAUCUGAGAUGGACAUAAAGGAGGGACCACGAGAUGGUUUGGAUGGUCCACACUUGGGUAUGCCAUUACCUUUGCAGAAUCUAAACAGAGCAACUAGCAACGUAAAUCUUUUGUUUAAAGGACACGAGUAUGGGAGUGCUCUUAUGAAAUUCACAUAUGUGGUUGCCUGCCAGAUGUAUGGGCUACAUAAGGCAAAGGGAGACUCCCGUGCUGAAGAUAUAUUAUAUUUGAUGAAAAACAAUGAGGCUCUUCGAGUUGCCUAUGUUGAUGAGGUUCACUCCGACCGGGGAGAGGUUGAGUAUUCCUCUGUUCUUGUGAAAUAUGAUCAGCAGUUGCGUAGGGAGGUGGAGAUCUAUCGGAUCAAGUUGCCUGGGCCCUUGAAACUUGGGGAAGGCAAACCAGAAAAUCAAAACCAUGCCAUAAUCUUCACCCGAGGUGAUGCUCUUCAGACCAUUGACAUGAACCAAGAUAACUAUUUUGAAGAGGCUCUCAAGAUGCGGAAUUUGUUGGAGGAAUUCAAUAACUAUUAUGGUAUCAGGAAGCCAACUAUCUUGGGGGUUCGUGAGAAUGUUUUCACCGGUUCAGUGUCUUCACUUGCUUGGUUUAUGUCUGCUCAGGAGACAAGUUUUGUGACCUUGGGCCAGCGUGUUCUGGCAAACCCUUUAAAGGUGAGAAUGCAUUAUGGGCACCCAGAUGUAUUUGACAGGUUCUGGUUCUUGAGUCGGGGUGGAAUCAGCAAGGCUUCUAAAGUGAUAAAUAUCAGCGAGGAUAUAUUUUCUGGCUUCAAUUGCACUCUGCGAGGUGGCAAUGUGACACACCAUGAGUAUAUACAGGUUGGCAAGGGGAGGGAUGUUGGGUUAAAUCAGAUCGCAAUGUUUGAGGCCAAGGUUGCCAGUGGCAAUGGUGAGCAGGUUUUGAGCAGAGAUGUAUAUCGGUUGGGUCAUAGAUUGGAUUUCUUCAGAAUGCUUUCAGUUUUCUACACAACUGUUGGGUUCUACUUCAAUUCAAUGAUGGUGGUACUGACUGUUUAUGCAUUUUUGUGGGGCCGCCUUUAUCUUGCCCUCAGUGGUAUUGAAGAUGCCCCACUGUCCAAUACCCCACUGUCCAAUACUAGUAACAAUAAAGCUCUUGGUACAAUCCUUAAUCAGCAGUUCAUUAUCCAGCUUGGUCUCUUCACUGCCCUCCCUAUGGUUGUUGAGAACUCUCUUGAGCACGGGUUCCUCCCAGCAAUUUGGGAUUUCUUGACAAUGCAGCUUCAGCUGGCUUCAUUGUUUUACACAUUCUCAUUGGGAACCCAAUCCCACUUCUUUGGCCGGACUAUUCUGCAUGGGGGUGCAAAGUAUCGAGCCACUGGCCGUGGUUUUGUGGUGCAGCACAAGAGCUUUGCCGAGAACUAUCGAUUGUAUUCUCGGAGCCAUUUUGUGAAGGCAAUUGAGCUUGGGAUUAUUUUAAUUGUAUAUGCUACUGAAAGCAGCAUGACUAAGAACACAUUUGUCUAUAUCGCCUUGAUGAUAACAAGCUGGUUUCUUGUAGUGUCAUGGAUAAUGGCCCCCUUUGUGUUUAAUCCUUCCGGAUUUGAUUGGCUGAAGACUGUGUAUGAUUUUGAUGAUUUUUUGAAUUGGAUAUGGAGCAGUGAGGUGUUUACAAAAGCAGAGCAGAGCUGGGAAACAUGGUGGUAUGAGGAACAGGACCAUCUGAGAACGACUGGUCUCUGGGGCAAACUGUUGGAGAUUAUUUUAGAUCUUCGAUUCUUCUUCUUCCAGUAUGGCAUUGUGUAUCAGCUGCAUAUUACCGGUGGAAAUAAAAGUAUAGCUGUUUAUUUACUAUCAUGGAUAUACAUCGUUGUGGCUGUUGGGAUUUACAUCAUCUUAUCGUAUGCUGGGAACAAAUAUGCUGCAAAAGAGCAUAUCUACUACCGACUAGUUCAGUUUCUUGUCAUUUCGCUUACAAUACUUGUGCUUGUUUUAUUGCUGAAGUUCACUCCCUUCCAAUUUCUUGAUUUUGUGACAAGUCUCUUGGCAUUCAUCCCAACAGGCUGGGGCAUAAUAUUGAUAGCCCAGGUACUUAGACCUUUUCUGCAAACCACUGUGGUGUGGGAUACUGUGGUUGCCUUGGCUCGGCUGUAUGAUUUGCUGUUGGGAGUGAUUGUUUUGGCUCCCGUGGCAUUACUGUCAUGGUUGCCAGGAUUCCAGUCGAUGCAAACAAGGAUCCUGUUCAAUGAGGGAUUCAGCAGGGGCCUCCAGAUAUCUCGUCUUCUGACUGGAAAAAAGUCCAACUGAGAUGUGACUUGAGGGGGGUUGUCCAGUGACAUAGACCUCCAUUUCCUUCUGAUCAUGAAACAGCACAGUCAUGGGUUGCUGGCAACAUUUCCUCAGUAUUCGUUAGACCAACUGGCAUCACCUUGUUAGGACACUACUUGCCAAGGAUUUGUAGGAAAGAUGCCUCAAAACUGCUUUUUUAGGAUGGGAAGGACAACAAGAGAGGUUUUCCUACUAUCCGCCACUAAGAAGGAGAGAUGGAUUCAUCAAUCAAUCUUCUUUCUUGUCUGCUUCACUACCUUACUAAUAAAAGAAGAAAUUCCUUGCUAAUGGCAAAAAUAGCUUGAAUCCUUUCCUUUUUCUAUAAAAUAUAACCUUACUUUUUAUCAUUUAUCUAACCAGUAAUAAUAAGCUGACCUUCCCUAUUAUUUUCUUUUGUCUAUAGAGCUCUACUUGAUUGGCUAUCGACUGGUCACUUGCUAGUGCUGUCUCUUCCUGCUAAAGAUUUUGGCAUUUGAUCUUUGGUUAAGCCUGUGUCAUAUUUUUCUUAUUAUACAAUCAUUAUGAAAGUUGGAAAGAAAAAUAUUUGGCAAUUGUUGUUUGAAUAAACAAGACUGUGUAAUGUGUAACCCACAAACCAGUCAACGACAUGUAAUUUUAUGCAUUGCAUCCUUGCCUACAAAUGCAAACCUGUCUGUGAUUGAAUGAAGAAAACUGUUAUGGUUUCACCGUUUCAUGCUAUUAAAACAAUAAUACCACAUUUGGACAGGCAUUAUCCAAGCCAACUCAAUCCAGUUCCACUGACUUCUAUUAUUUACUAUUCACUUGCCUUUAUUCACUUUAUAUAGGAAGGAUGGAAAGCUGAUGCUAGAAAUAACUCCUGCAAUAUAAUGAGAAAAAGAAUGAAAGUAUUUGUUACUGCAGGAACCUAGGGAAAAUGUUGGAAGUAAUUUGUUCCAAUUUUAACAGAUGUCUCUGAAGAGGCCUUGACAAAUUUGUUAUGUUCGAUUUGGUAGGAGGAUUGUGAUUG